UACGGAGGGUGCAAGCGUUGCUCGGAAUUAUUGGGCGUAAAGGGUAGGUAGGUGGUCUCAUUUGUCUGAGGUGAAAGCCUUGAGCUUAACUCAAGAAGUGCCUCAGAAACGGUGAGACUAGAGUCCUGGAGAGGGUCGUGGAAUUCCCGGUGUAGCGGUGAAAUGCGUAGAGAUCGGGAGGAACACCAGAGGCGAAGGCGGCGACCUGGACAGGUACUGACACUCAACUACGAAAGCGUGGGGAGCAAACGGG
rnacentral:rRNA from 1 species